UUUCUUUUUUCUUUUUUUUUUGCUAUUUAGUUAGGGGAUCUUUGUCUCUCAUCUUUGGUCCACCGACUCUAUGCUCUUACGUGUGACGUUGUUAGAGGCUGUGCAACUGUUCUCUACUUCUGUAUUUAAGAAUAUAGCUGUACAUGAAUUUAUCAUGCAUAUCUAUGCUUCUUUCCAUUGCAUUUCAUGUCUUUACUUCCCUACCUCACCUUCCAUCAUUUAUUACUCUAUUUCAUCAUCCAUUAUUUACUGCUUGAUCCUUUUAUCUCUGUCUUUUACUCCUUCUGCUCACAUUUGGUUGGCUGAUAAUUCAGACUUGAGGCAGUAUUUAUAACGCUCCAGGUUUGUUAUCAUCUGUUGCCUCAUCUUGUUCCUGCUGCAUCAUUGACCACUGUUCGCGUUCGAUUGGUCCACAUUUGGCACAUUAGGGAGGGUUUAUAGCGUUUGAGUUGCCAUUACUAGGCAGUCACGAUCUAUUUAUCACACAUUGCUGGGAGCAUUCCAUAUCUGAGCCACGAUUGCCGCAUAAAAGCAUUAUUACAUCUAUGUCUAUUAGCUUUUUGAGUCUCUUCUCCCCAUUUAUUUCUUUGCUCACUUACGUAACUAUCCGUGUUUCCUAAGGUUUGCUACAAUUUAUUGCUUUGUCCUCUUACUUUUGUGUGAGCCACUACUGCAUUAAGCGCUUUGGGCAAGAUUUAUAACAUCUGAGGUAUUCUUAAUAAUUUCUCUCCACGACUUCCCUACCUCCCGUACUCAUACUAGAUGCAUUCCUUCCCUAUGCUAAAUAUUCAAGUAAGUUAUGCGCCUUCUCCUCCUCCUUUCUUUUCCUUUGCUUUUCCUCUAUUUUGCUCUGCUAUAUGCAUGUCUUUAACCUUUUUGCUCUCUUGUGCUCUGGCACUGCACUCUUGCCCUUAAUAUAUUAGUUCUUUAUUUGUUCUCAGCAUUGCCUUCUCCUAUCAUUUAUGUACACAAAACUCCCAUAUUUCAUCGUUCAUCAUCUGACAUUAUUCACUUAGCAUCGUUCACUAUUCCCAUCUCCUUCUAAACAGAGGUUUCUUUCCGUCUUUACAUCCCGUGAUCUAAUACUGCUAUUUUCUCCGCAGCCUUUCAUUCCUUUAUUUCUUUUCAGGAUGGCUCCUUAUUCCAUUGCAGCGCAAAUUAGAUAUACAAACAACCUAUUCAUAAAAAAUUCUUGGAGUUGCUGCAUAACUGAGCCAGAAUUGCUGCAUACCAAAAUACUAUUAUCUUUAUAUAUAGUUGAUUUUAUUACAUAUUCUCUCAUUUUUCUUUGCUUAUUUAUUGAUUUAUUGUUUUACUGAUGUUUCCU